rnacentral:rRNA from 1 species
CGAUAUUGGAAGCUUGCUUCCGAUAGGCGUCGACCGGCGCACGGGUGAGUAACGCGUAUCCAACCUGCCCAUCACUUGGGGAUAACCUUGCGAAAGUAAGACUAAUACCCAAUGACGUCUCUAGAAGACAUCUGAAAGAGAUUAAAGAUUUAUCGGUGAUGGAUGGGGAUGCGUCUGAUUAGCUUGUUGGCGGGUAACGGCCCACCAAGGCGACGAUCAGUAGGGGUUCUGAGAGGAAGGUCCCCCACAUUGGAACUGAGACACGGUCCAAACUCCUACGGGAGGCAGCAGUGAGGAAUAUUGGUCAAUGGACGAGAGUCUGAACCAGCCAAGUAGCGUGCAGGAUGACGGCCCUAUGGGUUGUAAACUGCUUUUAUAAGGGAAUAAAGUGAGUCUCGUGAGACUUUUUGCAUGUACCUUAUGAAUAAGGACCGGCUAAUUCCGUG